rnacentral:rRNA from 1 species
AACGUAGGUGGCGAGCGUUAUCCGGAUUUACUGGGCGUAAAGCGUGUGCAGGCGGGGAGACAAGUGGGGUAUGAAAUUUCCCGGCUUAACCGGGAAGGGUUAUGCCAGACUGUCUUUCUGGAGUGCGAGAGAGGGGCGUGGAAUUCCGGGUGUAGUGGUGAAAUGCGUAGAGAUCGGAAAGAACACCAACGGCGAAAGCACUCUGCUGGGCCGACACUGACACUGAGAGACGAAAGCUAGGGGAGCGAAUGGG